rnacentral:rRNA from 1 species
CAGGAUGAACGCUAGCGACAGGCUUAACACAUGCAAGUCGAGGGGCAGCAUAAAAGUAGCAAUACUUGGUGGCGACCGGCGCACGGGUGAGUAACGCGUAUGCAACCUACCUAUCAGAGGGGAAUAACCCGGCGAAAGUCGGACUAAUACCGCAUAAAACGGGGGCACCGCAUGGUGAUAUUUGUUAAAGAAAUUCGCUGAUAGAUGGGCAUGCGUUCCAUUAGGUAGUUGGUGAGGUAACGGCUCACCAAGCCGACGAUGGAUAGGGGAACUGAGAGGUUGGUCCCCACACUGGUACUGAGACACGGACCAGACUCCUACGGGAGGCAGCAGUGAGGAAUAUUGGUCAAUGGGCGGGAGCCUGAACCAGUCAAGUCGCGUGAAGGAAAGAAGGAUCUAUGGUUCGUAAACUUCUUUUGCAGGAGAAUAAAGUGCAGGACGUGUCCUGUUUUGUAUGUACCCUGAGAAUAAGGAUCGGCUAACUCCGUGCCAGCAGCCGC